AGACUUUGCGUACUGCUUCUGCUAUAUCCCGGUUUUGACUUGGGAUUUGGAACCUAUGAUUCCACCACCCCACUUCUUCCUGUACUCUUCAUACUUGUCACUGAAGUUAGCCUUGAUUGCUUCAAGGACCCUGCUAAACUCCGUUUUAUCUUCAUUUUUAACCGUUGUCAAGCACAAAACAGCUGCAGUUUUCUUAUGGACAACAGUUCCAAGGCGAGCCUUGCCCUUAACAAUACAGUAAGGAAAUUCCAUCUUCCUGCACAAAGCUGGAAGCCAGACAACCAAUUCAAUUGGAUCAACGUCAUGGGCAAUCACGACAAGCUGAGCUUUAUUCUGCUCGAUGAGGUAGGUAACAUGAUUGAGACCAUAAAUGUUAGGGACCUGAUGCUGUUAUUUGGAUGUGAUGCCAAUACCCCUGCACCCUUGCCGCUACUGACUGGUGUGUGGAUGAAUGGAAGUGCAGGAUAGUUUGCUGCAGAAUGGGUGCUGUUAACAGCAGGUUUCCGUGUUGCUUCGGGCUUUGGUAGAGGGUGGUUGCGUGUCUGAAUUGUGGCAUUCAUGUCAUGAGUAGCAAGCCUAAGAAUUGCCGAAUUCAUCAAAUUGAUAAAGGUGGGAGCAGCAUGCUGACAAGAAAAGUUGUGUAAUAUAGUGUAGCCUAAGCUUCCAUCAGUGUUUUGGCCAUUCAUCGCAAUUGCCCCAAACCUAGAUUGGUAGGACUCAUUAAAGCUAGCCAUCAAAUAUUCACUCGUUGAAAGUAGAGCAAGUCCCAAAGUUGGCCCUGCUGCUUUCACUGCAUCAGCAUAUGCCUUUUCUGAAUUGGGAAAUUUAUAUGAGCUUGGGUUGCCGAGAGUUAAAGCGUAACCAACUCCAUAAUGAUGCUUCAAGAAAAGGAAGCUUCCACAGCAUUUCAGAGAACCAUCGGCCAUGAUAGCUAUCCGGUCACCUAGUUCAUCUGCUUCGUCCAUGGAAUGUGUUGCUCGUCAAGAAUUAUAACCUUACUGUUUCCAACUGAUGCGAGAAGACCAACAAGCAUUGAUAUUGUCGUGCUUCCUCAUGGAAAUAAACUUCAGAAGAAGUUUCUUCUCAGCUUGAACUGACCCUGUCUUGCUGGAUUGAAUUU